AUACGUAGGGGGCGAGCGUUGUCCGGAAUGAUUGGGCGUAAAGGGCGCGUAGGCGGCUUGUUAAGUCUGGAGUGGAAGUCCUCUUUUCAAGGGAGGAAUUGCUUUGGAAACUGGCGGGCUUGAGUGCAGGAGAGGUUAUCGGAAUUCCCGGUGUAGCGGUGAAAUGCGUAGAGAUCGGGAGGAACACCAGUGGCGAAGGCGGGUAACUGGACUGCAACUGACGCUGAGGCGCGAAAGUGUGGGGAGCAAACAGGAUUAGAUACCCUGGUAGUCCAGACUGUAAACGAUGAAUGCUAGGUGUAAGAGGUAUCGACCCCUUUUGUGCCGGAGUCAACACAAUAAGCAUUCCGCCUGGGGAGUACGGCCGCAAGGUUGAAACUCAAAUGAAUUGACGGGG
rnacentral:rRNA from 1 species